UGGGGAAUAUUGCGCAAUGGGCGAAAGCCUGACGCAGCAACGCCGCGUGAGUGAUGAAGGCCUUCGGGUCGUAAAGCUCUGUCGGAGGGAACGAAUGCUCUUGAGGUUAACAGCCUCGGGAGGUGACGGUACCCUCAAAGGAAGCACCGGCUAACUCCGUGCCAGCAGCCGCGGUAAUACGAAGGGAGCUAGCGUUGUUCGGAAUUACUGGGCGUAAAGCGCACGUAGGCGGACUUGUCAGUCAGGGGUGAAAUCCCAAGGCUCAACCUUGGAACUGCCUCCGAUACAGCAAGCCUAGAGAUCGGGAGAGGUGAGUGGAAUUCCUAGUGUAGAGGUGAAAUUCGUAGAUAUUAGGAAGAACACCAGUGGCGAAGGCGGCUCACUGGCCCGAUACUGACGCUGAGGUGCGAAAGCGUGGGGAGCAAACAGGAUUAGAUACCCCCGUAGUCCCUGAGCGGGCUGGCAAGGCGCAU
rnacentral:rRNA from 1 species